GAUGAACGCUGGCGGCGUGCCUAAUACAUGCAAGUCGAGCGAACGGACGAGAAGCUUGCUUCUCUGAUGUUAGCGGCGGACGGGUGAGUAACACGUGGAUAACCUACCUAUAAGACUGGGAUAACUUCGGGAAACCGGAGCUAAUACCGGAUGAUAUUUUGAACCGCAUGGUUCAAAAGUGAAAGACGGUCUUGCUGUCACUUAUAGAUGGAUCCGCGCUGCAUUAGCUAGUUGGUAAGGUAACGGCUUACCAAGGCAACGAUGCAUAGCCGACCUGAGAGGGGGAUCGGCCCCCCUGGACCUGAGCACCGGUCCAGCCCCCUCCGGGGGGCAGCAGUAGGGAAUCUUCCGAAAUGGGCGAAAGCCUGACGGAGCAACGCCGCGGGAGUGAUGAAGGUCUUCGGAUCGUAAAACUCUUUUAUUAGGGAAAAACAUAUGUGUAAGUAACUGUGCACAUCUGGCCGGUCCCUAAGCAGAAAGCCCCGGCUAACUCCGG
rnacentral:rRNA from 1 species